UGAUGGAGAGUGACUAUGUCCC
rnacentral:piRNA from 1 species